GUCAGUGUCUGCGGGUUUACAACACACCCCAUUGUUUUGGACCGGGAUCAAGACGCAAAGUUGAGAUCGAUCUUCAAGGGCUUGCACCGACCCUGAGCGUCUGGGAUGUUCGCGCUGGAAGAGUCUUUACCCCAGUUCAACGUCUAUUCAACAGUACUUGGACAGAACUAACAGGAUGGGGGGUGUAUUUUCUGGACCACAGAUAUGCCAAUCAUACACGGAUGCCACUGCCUUCCAGAUUAUUCACGACACAAUUACACAAAACCGUGUUGUAAUCUAUUCCAAAACUACAUGCCCUUACUGUGAUAUUGUAAAGAACAUAUUUACAGACCUGGGCAUUCCUUUCAAAGCGAUUGAAUUGGAUCUCCGGAAUGAUGGUGUACAUCUUCAGUAUAUUCUUACUGAAAUGACCGGUAUAAAGACAGUUCCAAAAGUGUUUAUAAAUGGGACGUGCAUAGGUGGCGGUUCAGACACUGUUCUACUCCACUCCAAGGGUAGACUACUAGAUAUGGUGAAUGAGUGCGGUCCAAACUCCGCCAUAGAAGGAGUCUGCAUCCUCCUUUGACUCCAAACAGAAGCAUCAUUCCUUGCUCACCAUUACUUGUGGAAUAAACUGGCAAAUUAAAAUGCAUCCUGGUAGACUGAUGAACAAGAUUUGUUCUAAAAACAAGUGAUUUUAUCAUAAACAACUUUGAAUUAUAAAAGCAAAUUAAACUUCCCAGGUUUCUGUCCUUGAAAUAAAGCAGGUUACUUUGCCCAUGAAGAACGAAGAGCUUAUAUCCCUUCAAAGUCAUUUUGAUCAUUUCAUGGACUUCCUAGGUUACAGAGAAAUACUAAUAAAAGCUUAGGAGCUGUUGACCUGCCUGUGCAUAUUGCUACACUGGAUGGUGUAGCAUUAUGGAGAGAGAUAUGAAAACAAAAAAGGCAUUAGAUGUCAUAGUAUAAAAUAUUUUUCCUAACACUUUAUUUCAACUGGAUUAAACAAUAUAAAAAACAAUUGUGUGUAUAGUUAAUGUAAAGGCAGUUAACAGAAUUUUCAUAUA